rnacentral:ncRNA from 1 species
AGUCUGCACCAAACCUUUACCAAAAGUACGGCUACCGAUAACUACCGCCCGGUCAUAAUCCUGUAAUGCUCCUGCCAAAAUUUCUGAGGCGGAAGCGGAAGCGCUAUUUACCAACACGGCCAAAGGAAUCUCCAGAUCGAGCGGCUCACGUAAAGUUUUAUAAGAAUUGCUAGCUUGUUUAACCUUGCCUUUCGUCGUUACAAGUGUUUUUCCACGAGGAAGGAAAUAAUUUGCAAUUUCAACAGCCUCAUCCAACAAUCCACCCCCAUUAUUACGUAA